rnacentral:rRNA from 1 species
CGUAUCACUUAAAGCGAUUCAGCGGGUUACGAUUGACGGAGCGAAGCGACGUCAAAGCGUAUACAAAGUCGAGUCGGUUUAAGGAUACGUUCGUUGGGUAGGGGAGCGUUCUGUAAGCCUGCGAAGGUGUCUCGUGAGGGAUGCUGGAGGUAUCAGAAGUGCGAAUGCUGACAUAAGUAACGAUAAUGCGGGUGAAAAACCCGCACGCCGGAAGACCAAGGGUUCCUGUCCAACGUUAAUCGGGGCAGGGUGAGUCGACCCCUAAGGCGAGGCCGAAAGGCGUAGUCGAUGGGAAACAGGUUAAUAUUCCUGUACUUGGUGUUACUGCGAAGGGGGGACGGAGAAGGCUAUGUUAGCCGGGCGACGGUUGUCCCGGUUUAAGCAUGUAGGCGGGUGUUCCAGGUAAAUCCGGAACGCUACUAACGCUGAGGUGUGACGACGAGGCACUACGGUGCUGAAGUAACAAAUGCCCUGCUUCCAGGAAAAGCCUCUAAGCAUCAGGUAACAUCAAAUCGUACCCCAAACCGACACAGGUGGUCAGGUAGAGAAUACCAAGGCGCUUGAGAGAACUCGGGUGAAGGAACUAGGCAAAAUGGUGCCGUAACUUCGGGAGAAGGCACGCUGACAUGUAGGUGAAGU